rnacentral:rRNA from 1 species
GACGAACGCUGGCGGCGUGCCUAAUACAUGCAAGUCGAGCGGACAGAAGGGAGCUUGCUCCCGGAUGUUAGCGGCGGACGGGUGAGUAACACGUGGGUAACCUGCCUGUAAGACUGGGAUAACUCCGGGAAACCGGAGCUAAUACCGGAUAGUUCCUUGAACCGCAUGGUUCAAGGAUGAAAGACGGUUUCGGCUGUCACUUACAGAUGGACCCGCGGCGCAUUAGCUAGUUGGUGGGGUAAUGGCUCACCAAGGCGACGAUGCGUAGCCGACCUGAGAGGGUGAUCGGCCACACUGGGACUGAGACACGGCCCAGACUCCUACGGGAGGCAGCAGUAGGGAAUCUUCCGCAAUGGACGAAAGUCUGACGGAGCAACGCCGCGUGAGUGAUGAAGGUUUUCGGAUCGUAAAGCUCUGUUGUUAGGGAAGAACAAGUGCGAGAGUAACUGCUCGCACCUUGACGGUACCUAACCAGAAAGCCACGGCUAACUACGUGCCAGCAGCCGCGGUAAUACGUAGGUGGCAAGCGUUGUCCGGAAUUAUUGGGCGUAAAGGGCUCGCAGGCGGUUUCUUAAGUCUGAUGUGAAAGCCCCCGGCUCAACCGGGGAGGGUCAUUGGAAACUGGGAAACUUGAGUGCAGAAGAGGAGAGUGGAAUUCCACGUGUAGCGGUGAAAUGCGUAGAGAUGUGGAGGAACACCAGUGGCGAAGGCGACUCUCUGGUCUGUAACUGACGCUGAGGAGCGAAAGCGUGGGGAGCGAACAGGAUUAGAUACCCUGGUAGUCCACGCCGUAAACGAUGAGUGCUAAGUGUUAGGGGGUUUCCGCCCCUUAGUGCUGCAGCUAACGCAUUAAGCACUCCGCCUGGG